AUGACUAGCAGUAGUCCUAAGGAUCCACUUGUAAAACCGGAAGCAAUUCCAGUAAAAGACUGUGAGAUGGCUCAAACAGGAAAGGAAACUGUAGGUAGCAUUACUUCGCCAAAAGUUGAAAAUGCUACCAAACCGUCACUUGAACAGGAUUUGAAAAAAACCCAAGUAUCCAACAAAAGUAAAGCUGCAGCCCCCAAACCAUGCAAAACGUCUAAUGUAUCUAAUUCUAAUGCUCCUAAAUCUUCCAGUUCAGCAAAUUCUGGUGGUCCAACAGCUGCUACCGCUGGUCCGCUUUCGGAGAAGAAUUUGGUAGACAGUGAAAAUCGUGAAAUCAAUUACUAUAAAACUGAAGUUGUGCUAGAUGUGCUGCCCUGUACCGAAAUUGACGAGAAUCCAGCAGAUGAAUCUGAUUGGCAAGUUUGUUCAAAACCAAAAAACAAGCGGAAACCCAGGAAACAAGAACAACAGUUAACUGAAAUAAAGGAAGGAAAUUUAUCAAGCCCUGCUGUAGAGACAACUGCCCCACAGGUGACAUGCAAAGCACCCUCCUUAAAGGAGAUAUCUCUCAAAGAAUCAGAGUGUAGUUUGUCAAACGAAGACUCAGUCAAAAAGUUAGAUGAGGUCAAACAAAAAUCUUCAAGUUCAUCCAAAAAACUUGCAUCAGCAGCAGAAGAUAAACAAAUCGUAGAAUUGAGUGAGGUUUCACAGUUAAAACAGAAUGUUUCAAAGGAGAAAAGUAGUCCAAAAGUUGUUUCAAUGCCAAAAAAAGUUGGCGGUGAAAUUGAAAAAACAGUUAAGGAUAAAGAAAAAAAGUCUACCCUUGCGGAUCCAAAAACACCCUGUAAUAUGAAAAUAAAAGAUGAUGAUGCAAGAAAAAAUUCUAAAGGAAAACCUCAAGGAUUGAUUCCUAAACAAUCGAGCAACAAAUCCGAACAAGCCGCACUUUCUUCAUUGUCAAAAGCAGACGUGACAAGUGUUAAAGAAACGAAAGAUAAAAAAUCCUCAGAAGAUUCUGCUAGGAAAGUGAAUGUAUCAGAAAAUGUCCUCUCUUCAAAUGUGGAUCCCAAAUGUUCUUCAAUAGAUACAAAACAGAAAGGCUCCCCUGCUGAGAAGUCAAGUGCAGUCCUGAUUAAGGUUGAAAAAUCGACGGGGUCCUCUCAGAAAACCAAUGGUGUUAAGACUGUAAAAGUUCCUCUCAAAAACAAUACAUCAGAAGCGAAAAGUGAGGUUGCAAGUGUUGGCAAGGUAAAUACCACCAUGAAAUCCAACAGUAAAACAAAAAAAACGGGGCACCAAACAACAAAAAUAGAUCAGCACCCAAUCCCCCCUGUUCCAGCAACUUUAGCUAACAUAGCAGAAAAGGAAAAGGGAGCCUUAAAAGGGAUUCCCUUCCAAGGGUUGGAAACAGCAUCAGAAAAGAUUAUCUCUUCAGGAACUGAAGAAAGCUCAGAUUUCUUCGAUAUCGAUUUGAACUCUGCCCAGCCUUACAGCGGUAAUAUUUUAAGCGAUGAAAUGGUUAAAGAUUUUGAAAUCGUUGAGCCAUCAUUUAGGACAGAGGCAGAGAUGAAAAUGGCUUCUGAAAUGUCCACUGAAUUGAGCUUAAUGGAUGUUAACAUGCAAGCCAUGAAUGAAUCUAUUGAUUUUUUACUAGAUGAUAAAUUCGAAGAUGAGGCACCCUUAGCCUCUGACUCAAACAUAUUUUUAUCGGACUCUUUACUCGCAGAUAGUGUUCAUUCAAUUUUAAGUCCGGUGGACAAUACUUGGAUGAAACAGACUUCCCUUUCAGGAGAACAAAUUGCAAUUAAGGACGUCCUGUUAGAUGGGUCCAACAGUGCCCCUGGGAAGAAGAAGCAGUUGAACGUCGCGGCAAAGGAAUUUGUACCUCGAUCACAAAUGAAUAUGGCUAGUAGUGUUCCCUUAUCAUUAGAUAGUAUUACUCAAGAUGCUAUGAACAUAGGGAUCUUCGGCUCGGUGAAAGAACGCGGAAAGAGUGCGAAAACAUCGAAGAUUCAAAAGCCAAAGGAGGAGCCAAGCUCUGCCUCCAAUGGAACUGCCACUGGAAUGAAUGAUUCGGAAACUUCUUCCGUAGAUCAAUGUGUCAACAUCGCAUCAAAGCCUGAUGCGCAGGAGACUGUGGAUUCCUCAGCUAAUCUUCCGGUGGAAGCGGGAUUCCAACAAUUGAUGCAGAUGUAUGGGUCAAUAAGUGGCAGUAUGAUAAUGCGGAAAGAUUAUUCUUCGAAGCUCUCGCUCGAAGAGAGAAAGAUAAGGCAAAUUCAAGAAAUAAAACGAAAGAUGAUGAGGAUGAUGAUAAUAAUGAUGAUGAUGAUGAUGAUGACAAUGAUGAUAAAAACGACCAAUCCAACGCAGACAGCAAACCUCAUGGGCCUGCGGACAAAAAAUCCAAGUAUGAUGAACAAUCAGGAUCAAAGAACGAGUCUGAAUCCACGGACGAGCAAUCGCACAAAAGUUCGAACAAACGAGACUCGAUGCUAA
rnacentral:lncRNA from 1 species